UGGGCGGGGCCCUGGGCUUACCGGGCCCGACCACCCGACCCAGCUGGGAGUGGACGGGGCUAUUCCGCUCCAGGCCCUCGCAGGAAGAUGGUAGAGCCCACGAAGAGGCAGAUGCAGAGGUGCAGGUGCACCGUGGUGCGCGAGCCCUGGAUCGGCCGCACCAGCAGGAAGUGCCCCCUCCCACCCCCCGGAGGUGAUGCCACCUGGUGACUGCACAUCCUCGAACGGUGGACGCUGAGGUUAUUUAUGGGAAGUGUGCAGAGUUCUGACACAUAGCAGGCUCCAGGAACCGCCUCGACUACUUCUCCAGCUCCAGGCCAGCCUCACACUGUCUUCGCAGGGCCUCUACCUGUGCACAGUCUUGGGUCCUCCAGGUUGAGCUCCAAGCCGGGUGGGCAUUGGCAGGUGUAGCUGCCCUGGGUGUUGAUGCAGAUGCUGCGGCCUUUACAGAUUUUGGGUUUCUGCUGACAUUCAUCCACAUCUGCAAGGGGAAGGAGAGGAUGAUGGAUGCCUGCAGCUGUGGACAGCCUUCUGGGCUGGGGGUUGGCCACAUUUCCUGGCCUAGAAGCAUCCAGAAGGGCCCGCUCUCUCUUCCCCGGUGAGUGGGUCUUUUCUAAUUCACAUGGAGGCAUCCUAUGGGUGAGCAUGGCGGCCCAGAUGUUCUGUUGUCCAGAUGCGGCCAGGAGUGACCCAAGUCCUCCCCUGUCUGCCGGCUCUGGCUCUCUCAGCCUCCCUGGGAA